rnacentral:tRNA from 1 species
UCCCUGGUGGUCCAGUGGUUAGGAUAUGGCACUUUCACUGUGGUGGCCCAGGUUCAGUCCCUAGUCGGGGAA